rnacentral:rRNA from 1 species
UGACGUCAAGUCAUCAUGGCCCUUACGAGUAGGGCUACACACGUGCUACAAUGGCAUAUACAAAGGGCGGCAAGCUAGCGAUAGUGAGCGAAUCCCAUAAAGUAUGUCGUAGUCCGGAUUGGAGUCUGCAACUCGACUCCAUGAAGUCGGAAUCGCUAGUAAUCGCGGAUCAGAAUGCCGCGGUGAAUACGUUCCCGGGCCUUGUACACACCGCCCGUCACACCAUGGGAGUGGGUUGCAAAAGAAGUAGGUAGCUUAACCUUCGGGAGGGCGCUUACCACUUUGUGAUUCAUGACUGGGGUGAAGUCGUAACAAGGUAACCGUAGGGGAACCUGCGGUUGGAUCACCUCCUUACCU